GGAACUACAGGAGGAAGCCACACUGCUGGAGAAACUAGGCAGUACAAACCCUAUCAGGCACAAGGAAGGUGGCCCCGAGGCUCAGGUUGGCCACCUCUGCUGUAGGAGGUGAAAACCCCUGCAACAUCACACCUGACACGAGAGGGUGUAAUAGUGGUUCACAUUACCAUCCCUUCCUUCUGGAUUGGAACGGAUUGGCAUCCUUAUGGACAGAAUCUCAACAGAGCCACCAAUAGCUGGAUGAGCAUGAACCUAGCACUGAAACAGGACGGAUUUAGACAUGAAUCAAGAACUUUCAGAAAAUGGAUUUCUCACCCCUAAAGAACAUUUCACAGUCAUGGUUUGGAUGGUCUUGUGGUCAAAGCACUACCCUGGGAUGCCAAAGAUUGGUGGAUCAAUUUGUGGGUCUGCUAUAGACUCUCUCUCUCAGCUUGGUGCAGUCAUUCAAUCUCUUGCCUUGCCUUAUGGGACGCAGUGCAAAGCCUAUCCACUAACCCAGGUUUUUGCCUGAAGGGUAAAUGUGGCAUGUAUUUUAAUGAUUGUGCUAAUGGUCAGUUCAUUUUGAUAUUAUUUCACUUAUGCACAUGUACCCUCAGAAACAGGGAAAGGCACACUUCUAGAAACAAAUAAAGGACAUUCUAAUGUUCUCCUUUUUAAAGUCCUUUUUCAGAGCAGAGCCACCCUCCAUGUGGGUUCGCUGCACCGGCUGUACCCAACAGCUGUUUUUCAAACUCCAAGUAUCACCAGCAUAGCAGAGCUCUUAUCUUUAAAAUGCCAAAAGACCCUCAACUAUGAGCCUAGUGUUGAGGUCCUCACCCAAAUGGUGUUCAGACGAGAGUUCUAUUUGCAUCAGGGCUUAUAUCUCAUUUGCAAGAGGGAAAAUUGCCACCCCACCCAGUUGUUCUUUUUAAGCUGGAAUUUAGCCACCCUAGAUAAAUCUGAUGUUUUGCACCAUAAAAAGGAUUUAAAACGUGCAACAAGGCUGAUGACUUUUCUCCAGUUUAGCAUGAUGCAGUUUGUUUCCAAGGUUCAAUACCACUACCAUUUCAAAGUAUUGUUACUGAAACAAUACUGCAACAGCAAAUGCACCAUGCACGCACAAAAUGCGUUUACAGGGUGGUUUCCCCAGCAUGGAAGUGUAGGAUUGAGUGGAGAAAACAGACACAGAGCCUUGUUUCCUGCCAUGCCUGCCCUUCAAUGUGGGAAGCACAGUUUCAGUUACUGGAAUAAGUAACAGAGCUCCCCCCAAAUAGCAUUUGUAUAGACUUAGCAAGUGACAGGAUAGUUUUGCAUAGGGGUUCUUCCCAUAGGCGGUGAGUUAUAGGGGCCUGUGCUCUACCAAGAUUCAGGAACGUGGACCCAGCUCCAUCAAUCUUUGGGCUUAUAUUUUCAGAGCCGUCCUAUCCAUAGGACGGACCAAGGCAACCACUCCGGGCCCCACGCUUUG